AAAUUAUUCGUGACCUGCCAUCUAGUCGGAACUCACGACAGAGGGACUGUAUCAUAUAUUAACUACACCUAGAGGUUCUAUUUUGGUUCUGCUAGAUUGCCACUACAUAUUGCUAGAUAUCAUUGGUGGAUUGUGAGAGCUCUAUAGGAUUGUUUUGGAUCAAUGAUCCUUGUCGACUUAGAGUGGAACUAUUCCGACCCACUGAAAGGGGUUUCAAUUAUGCUUAUGAUAGAGAUCAUGGUAUUUCUUACUACCAGACAGAAUUGAACCUAUGGGGUCAUACAUAAAGGGAGAAGACCUAGAUUGAUUAUAAUUAGACUUAUGAAGUACCAAUUUAUGUGGAUUUAGAAAAAUCCUAUCGGGUUCAUGUUAACCUUGCUAGCACCUGGGUG
rnacentral:lncRNA from 1 species